GUAGCAUAUGAAUUCUUCAUACGGACGCCCAUUUCAUGUACCACCCAUUGGACAGGUGAUAUAACUUGUGCAGUGUUUAUACGCAAAAAAAAGUAGAAUCGAAAAAACACAGGACUUGGAAAAGAUCUGUUGGCCAAAAAGGUGUCAUUUUUCUUGUCAAUUCUCCUCCAAGGUUAGUUAAACCUUGAUAAACACUUGCAUUUAGAAUUAUUUAUAUAGCGCCAACAUAUUCUGCUGUGAACAACAGGUAAAUAAGAGAAACAGUUAAAGGGACAGUAUAGUCACCUGAACAACUUUAGCUUAAUGAAGCAGUUUUGGUG